UUGGGAGCUCAGAAGAGGUAAUGACUAACUUACUUUGGGGAGAGGUUGUGGCCAUGGCUUCACUUUUCAACUGGAUCAUAAAGGAUAAGUAGAAGUUAGCCUGACUGAGUAAGUAGUAAGGGAAGACAGAACUCCGGGAAAGUGAAACAACAGAGUACAAAGGGCCCUCCAGCCUACCCAGUCCCAUGCACCUGGAAGAAGUUCUCCACGUGUUCCCUUGGGGCCUCCUCCCGGAGUGCUGGGUCAUACAGGUUGAAGGCCCAAUUCAGCCUGUCAUCUACCGUUCCCCGAAGAAUAACCGACAAACCAGCCACAAAGUCCUAGAAAGGAGGCAGGGGUAGCUGUGUCUUCAGAUACCCUUCACCCAACCCUUUCUUUGGGUUUGAACUGGAGAUCCUGGCCCUGAAGUCCCAGGAAACAGGGUUCCCUGGCCCACCUCCCCCCAGCUUACCUCAAAACUGACCGAGCCAUCAUGGUUAGUGUCAAAGGCAUUGAAGAGAAAAGCGGCAUAGGUGCUGGAGUCUGUAGGAUGAGUGUGGAGAAGUAAGCUUGGCUUCCAGACAGGAGAGGACUUCCUACCUCUAUGGAGCUCCCCCAACUCCCUCAUCACUUUGGCAUUUCCAGCCCUCCGGAACCCUCUCUCCCACUCAGCCUAGAGAUGGAUGGCUCCUUCCCCUUGGGACUUGUCCCCUCACCUCCUUGAGGAAAGAACUGGGAGUAAAUCUGCUUGAAGUUCUCCUCACUGACAAUUCCGCUGGGGCAUUCCUGGGAGGGGAGGGGAAUCAGGAUGAGGGCAGAGACAAAACCCCCUUCUGCUCACUGGCCCCCCCACUCCAUGGCCAGAGACUCCCAGAGAAAGAGGGAAACUUUUCAAGCCUCCAGGGACUCACCAGCUCUAGUGAUGGGAGCCAAGACUUCUUCCCCAGAGCACAAAUAAAAAACACGGAGCUAAA